rnacentral:rRNA from 1 species
UUACACAUGCAAGUCGAACGGCAGCACGGACUUCGGUCUGGCGGCGAGUGGCGAACGGGUGAGUAAUAUAUCGGAACGUAUCCAAUAAUGGGGGAUAACUAAUCGAAAGGUUGGCUAAUACCGCAUACGCCCUACGGGGGAAAGCUAGGGACCUUCGGGCCUGGCGUUAAUGGAGCGGCCGAUAUCUGAUUAGCUAGUUGGUGGGGUAAAGGCCCACCAAGGCGACGAUCAGUAGCUGGUCUGAGAGGACGACCAGCCACACUGGAACUGAGACACGGUCCAGACUCCUACGGGAGGCAGCAGUGGGGAAUUUUGGACAAUGGGCGCAAGCCUGAUCCAGCCAUUCCGCGUGAGUGAAGAAGGCCUUCGGGUUGUAAAGCUCUUUCGCAAGGGAAGAAAGAUUACUCUCUAACAUAGAGUGAUUAUGACGGUACCUUGAUAAGAAGCACCGGCUAACUACGUGCCAGCAGCCGCGGUAAUACGUAGGGUGCGAGCGUUAAUCGGAAUUACUGGGCGUAAAGCGUGCGCAGGCGGUUUUGUAAGUCAGAUGUGAAAUCCCCGAGCUCAACUUGGGAACUGCGUUUGAAACUACAAGACUAGAAUAUGUCAGAGGGGGGUAGAAUUCCACGUGUAGCAGUGAAAUGCGUAGAGAUGUGGAGGAAUACCAAUGGCGAAGGCAGCCCCCUGGGAUAAUAUUGACGCUCAUGCACGAAAGCGUGGGGAGCAAACAGGAUUAGAUACCCUGGUAGUCCACGCCCUAAACGAUGUCUACUAGUUGUUGGUGGAGUAAAAUCCAUGAGUAACGCAGCUAACGCGUGAAGUAGACCGCCUGGGGGAGUACGAUCGCAAGAUUAAAACUCAAAUGAAAUUGACGGGGGCCCGCCACAAGCGGUGGAUAUG